UGCGUAGGUGGUUUUUCAAGUCAGGAGUGAAAGGCUACGGCUCAACCGUAGUAAGCUCUUGAAACUGUUAAACUUGAGCGCAGGAGAGGAGAGUGGAAUUCCUAGUGUAGCGGUGAAAUGCGUAGAUAUUAGGAGGAACACCAGUUGCGAAGGCGGCUCUCUGGACUGUAACUGACACUGAGGCACGAAAGCGUGGGGAGCAAACA
rnacentral:rRNA from 1 species